CCUACGGGAGGCAGCAGUGAGGAAUAUUGGUCAAUGGGCGCGAGCCUGAACCAGCCAAGUCGCGUGAGGGAUUAAGGCCCUGCGGGUCGUAAACCUCUUUUGCCGGGGAGCAGUGGUCCGGACGCGUCCGGACCGGGAGAGUACCCGGAGAAAAAGCAUCGGCUAACUCCGUGCCAGCAGCCGGGGUAAUACGGAGGAUGCGAGCGUUAUCCGGAUUUAAUGGGGUUAAAGGGUGCGUAGGCGGGCAUUUAAGCCGGCGGGCAAAUGUCGGGGCUCAAACCCGGCCUGCCGUCGGAACUGGGUGCCUUGAGUGGGCGAGAAGUAUGCGGAAUGCGUGGUGUAGCGGUGAAAUGCAUAGAUAUCACGCAGAACCCCGAUUGCGAAGGCAGCAUACCGGCGCCCUACUGACGCUGAGGCACGAAAGUGCGGGUAUCGAACAGGAUUAGAUACCCCAGUAGUC
rnacentral:rRNA from 1 species